UCACCCUUUAUCAUAUCAUAUCAUAUCAUAUCACUGUAAACAUUUUCGAUCUUUCUUAUUUCUCAAUUGCUCUCCAAACCCUAAAAGCACCCAUGUUCGAUCAUUCCUUCCACAUAAGAUGGAAAACCAAAGGCAAGGCCCUAUACAAUAAACAACUUGUGUGAAAAAUCCCUUCAUGAAGAGCAGCGUUUUACAGCAUUGUUGGUCUUCUUCUCUUGCUCCAUUCCUCCUCUGAAUCGGUGGCGGCGACGGCAAUUUGGGGUUUGAUGCACUAGGGUCAUCGUUAUCCUCUUUUCUUGUACCAAGCUCUGCUAGAUCUCUUGGAUCUUUAUGUUGACGAUAAUUUAGUUAUACUAGAAGCUAUGGCAAUGAUUUGGGGUUUGGGUGUAGAUGGUGUAGUAAGGGUGGAGACACAUGUGGGUAAUAGUGGGUGGAGGUGAUUGGGGUGAGGGUGGAAGCUGAGGUGUGGGUUGGAAUUGCUUGAUUUGGGAAAAUCAUUUACUUAUAUUACUGCACUUGGUCAAGAUCAACCAUAGUUGAAAAGAUCGAAACCUAUCUCAAAGCUAUGUCAUGGUGCUUGGUUGCUUAAGACAACGCGUUUGACAAAAGUCCCAAGUGAGAGAAUUCUCAAGUGGCAAAUGCAAGGUUUCAAGCUACAACAGCAAUUCGAGAUGUAGCCAGGUUUCAGGCUACAACAGCAGUUUGAGAUGCAGCUAUCAGAGAAUGGGUGUUUCUUACGGUUGAUGAGAAGACAAGCUUGAUUAGGUAACUCUCGGCUUUGGGUGGUUGUUGAAGGCUUGUGCGAUGUUAUAUAGAUUAGGUUGUUGAAGGCCUGUUUGGUUGUGUGGCUAUUUUGUUCCUCUGCUUUGUUGAAGUUCUGCAUCAAGUGUAGUUCUGCUUUGCUCCUCUGCUAAUGGUUUGAAUAAUGGGAGUGGCCUAUUUGUUGGGUGUGGCUACUGCUGUUAGUUACAGAAGAAGUGUGGAAACUGCUGUAUUGAUGUAAUGUUUUGUUAGUGAUUUGAGUAGGACUAGUUCUCUUUGGGUAUGUAUAGGGUAGCAGAGCUAUAGAGCACAAAUGAUUUGAGUCCCGCUCAGCAUGAUAAUGAGGAAGCUUGAUGAAUGAAAUGAAAUGGAAAAACCAGAGUUUCAUUCACGUAACCAGAAUUUUCCCUUAUGGUCCAAGUGGCAUCGUAUGUGGCAACAUGGAUUAAUUUUCACUACUAAGAGAGUUUAGCCAUGAACACAGUAAAUUUGCAUCCACAAAAUUAAAUGCUUAGGUUCUCUUGAGAAAGGUAACCUAAAUUAAGCUCUUCUUGUUUUGGUUGUAGAAAUGCCAUUGAAUCAUAGGAAGGAUUUAAUCUAAUUAUUAAAACGUAGCUUAAGUAAACAAAAUUACAAUUCAACAUGCUGGUAUUCAUCAUUUUUUUGACAUCAACUCUCCUCUAAUAUCUUCAUGUUAGGGCACCUGUGUUGAUUCCCUUUGUUUUUACUCUCUUAGUCAAGAAAUUUUUUUUUUUUUCAA